ACUGGAAUCAGCAACUCCCUGGAACUCGGGCCUCUGGCCCCGUCCCUCUUUUCUCCGGCAGGGACGCAGGAUGCCUUGGUGCACUCUAGAGACGGGGACCGGAGGGUGCAGCGCGCCUGGGUGGGGCGAAGGGCGCCGGUCUCCUCACGCCCUCUGACUUUAGGAUACCAGACAGUGUCUCUUCAACCCCACCCCAGGCGCAGGUUUCCAGAAGGCGGGGUGGGUGGGGCCCCCGAUUUCCAGAAGGCGAGUUACCUAGCAGGAGAAAAAUCAAGACGUUCCCUUCAGUCCUCCCUCGGUGUUAACGUCUGCUCCAGCUCGCAGCCCGCUGCUGGGCAUUUUAUUAAUGCUUUUACGAGUUAGAAGAGUUGGGAUAAUUUGCCAUCUGGAGUUUCUCUGCCUUGCUGAUCUGAGCUCAGACCUGCCAAUUUACCAGAGAUAAUUGAUAACACCCUGUAACAGCUGAGAGGAAAAUGGAAGAAACGGAGAUACUUUUAGUGAAGCAGAAUAAACCACUGAACAGUCUGUUUCAUCUUCAUAAAAACGCUGCUUUCAGUGCACUGGAUUUAUUUUACAACCCACUAAUGGAUUACCCUACAGUUUGAAAAACAUUGCGUUAGACCAGUUUGACUGUUGUCAAGAACCAAAAAAGAUGGAGUUUCACUCUUCC
rnacentral:lncRNA from 1 species